rnacentral:misc_RNA from 2 species
AACCAAUAAAAUCAAUCAUCUUCAGUUUUGAAAGACUUAGGCAACUAAGUUUUUCUUCGUGACUUCACGAAGGGCCUAUAGCUCAGUUGGUUAGAGCACACGCCUGAUAAGCGUGAGGUCGGUGGUUCAAGUCCAUUUAGGCCCACCAGAGUUAUAGGUUUCGUAAGAACACAAAUUCUUUGAAAAU